rnacentral:lncRNA from 1 species
UAAUACAAAUAGAAUGAAUACGUCACCCUACCCCUCCCUUGUACAAAAACCAGGUUCUUGCACACGAACGGGUUCGUACCGCUUCUCACCCCUGCGCGCGCUCUCUCUCUCUCCCCCCGUUCUAGCCAACAACUGCAAAACCACCUCUCAUUUUCCUAACCAACAACUGGAAGAAGUAAUACGCACGCGCACGAAGAACUCGAAGUUAUCUAUUUCUCUCUACGUGUUCAUUUUGUUCAAAUGAUUUCUUAAUGAAAGAUAUACAUAUGGUGAACAGCGUGAGAGNNN